GGGGCUAGGGCUCAGUGGCAGAGCACCUGCCUGGAAUGUGGGAGGCCCUGGGUUCCAUCCCCAGCACCA
rnacentral:tRNA from 1 species